ensembl:lncRNA
UUGGAUGUGAUCAUGUGUCUAAGUUCUGGUAAAGAACUACUCUACUCUUCUUUCCCGCUGACUGGAAUGUGGACAUGGUGACUGGAGCUUGAGCAGCAAUCUUAAACCAUGAGGUGGAAACUAUUAUUCAGGAUGCAGACAAAAGAAGCUUGGAAAUCUGAAGAUUGUGGCACAAGAUUGCAGCCUGGACAGCUACUGUGUAGAAAACCAUAGUGAGCACAUUGGAGAAGGGCUACUUGACAAUGGGUCUUCCAGCAGGCCAGCUACUAUCCAACAUGAGAACCAGCAGGAUCCAUCCUGGACAAAGUCACAGAGUGCAUGGUGGGAAGAGGAGAAGGACCAAGAUUGAAGUGACCCUGAAGGACAAGAACAGUAUGAUUCCUGUGUCUUCCAGCGUGGCCCAGUCCAUCAUCCAUGGAGCUGGAGUGAUCAGUCUAAAAAGCAAACAAUAUCCAUCAUCCCAGUAUCAAAUCUCUCCAUGCUAACCAACUUGAUCUGAUUCCCAUUUACCUUCUGGGCUCAUUUGUCCUAUGUUUUAAUCUUCUAGCAAUGCUGAACUACUUAUAUUUUAUCUUUCUUCCUCUUGGACUCCUUAAUCUUAAAAGAUGAGAACAGGUUUGUCAUUCUAGAGGGUAGGGGGACUCCAGUCUAGAAAUGCCACAAUGUGCCUGUGUGUACAUGUGUGUGUACAUGUGUGCAUGUGUACAUGUGUACAUGUGUACCUGUGUUUUGGAGGUCCAGGAGGAGGGACUCUCCCUCUGAGUCUGCCCCGUGUCUAUCCACACAUACUGUACUCUUUUUCCUCUUAAUAAACACUUGACUUACUUCA